CACCACAACGGGUGGAGCUUGCGGUUUAAUUGGAUUCAACGCCGGAAUCUUACCGGGACCGACAGCAAUAUGAAGGCCAGGCUGAAGACUUUGCCGGAUUAGCUGAGAGGUGGUGCAUGGCCGUCGUCAGUUCGUACUGUGAAGCAUCCUGUUAAGUCAGGCAACGAGCGAGACCCACGCCAACAGUUGCCAGCUCGUCCUCCGGGAUGGUGGGGACACUGUUGGGACCGCCUCUGCUAAAGAGGAGGAAGGAAUGGGCAACGGUAGGUCAGCAUGCCCCGAAUUAUCUGGGCUACACGCGGGCUACAAUGGGUGGGACAAUGGGUAUCGACACCGAAAGGUGAAGGCAAUCUCCUAAACCCAUCCGUAGUUCGGAUUGUGGGCUGCAACUCGCCCACAUGAAGCUGGAAUCUGUAGUAAUCGUGUCUCAAAAUGGCACGGUGAAUAUGUCCCUGCUCCUU
rnacentral:rRNA from 1 species